rnacentral:rRNA from 1 species
UACGUAGGUGGCAAGCGUUGUCCGGAUUUACUGGGCGUAAAGAGCGCGCAGGCGGUCGUUCAAGUCGCGUGUGAAAGCCCCCGGCUCAACUGGGGAGGGUCACGCGAUACUGAUCGACUCGAAGGCAGGAGAGGGUAGUGGAAUUCCCGGUGUAGUGGUGAAAUGCGUAGAUAUCGGGAGGAACACCAGUGGCGAAGGCGACUACCUGGCCUGUUUCUUGACGCUGAGGCGCGAAAGCCAGGGGAGCAAACGGG